rnacentral:rRNA from 1 species
ACUACGGGUGGCAGCAGUGGGGAAUAUUGGGCAAUGGGCGCAAGCCUGACCCAGCAACGCCGCGUGAAGGAAGAAGGCUUUCGGGUUGUAAACUUCUUUUAUCAGGGACGAAACAAGUGACGGUACCUGAUGAAUAAGCCACGGCGAACUAAGUGCCAGCAGCCACGGUGAUACGGAGGUGGCAAGCGUUAUGCGGAUUUACUGGGUGUAAGGGGCGUGUAGGCGGGAGUGCAAGUCAGAUGUGAAAACUAUGGGAUCAACCCACAGCCUGCAUUUGAAACUGUACUUCUUGAGUGCUGGAGAGGCAAUCGGAAUUCCGGGUGUAGCGGUGAAAUGCGUAGAUAUACGGAGGAACACCAGUGGCGAAGGCGGAUUGCUGGACAGUAACUGACGCUGAGGCGCGAAAGCGUGGGUAUCAAACAGGAUUAGAUACCCGGGUAGUC